rnacentral:rRNA from 1 species
UACGGAGGGGGCUAGCGUUGUUCGGAAUUACUGGGCGUAAAGCGCACGUAGGCGGUUUUUUAAGUCAGAGGUGAAAGCCCGGAGCUCAACUCCGGAAUUGCCUUUGAGACUGGGAGACUUGAAUCCAGGAGAGGUGAGUGGAAUUCCGAGUGUAGAGGUGAAAUUCGUAGAUAUUCGGAAGAAACACCAGUGGCGAAGGCGGCUCACUGGUCCGGUACUGACGCUGAGGAGCGAAAGCAUGGGGAGCGAACAGG